GCUCGAGCGAUCCUCCCACCUCAGCCUCCUGAAUAGCUGGGACUACAGGCAUACACCACCACAUCCAGCUAAUUUUUUCUAUUUUUUGUAGAAACGAGGUUUUUGCCAUAUUGCCCAGGCUCAUCCCAAACUCCUGGGCUCAAGCGAUCUGCUCACCUCAGGAUUAUAGGUGUGAGCUACCGCACCCAGCCCUCUAUUUUUUUUUUUUUUUUUUUUUGGAGCAACAUGGCUGUUUAUUUCACCUGGGUGCAGGUGGGCUGAGUCUGAAAAAAGAGUCAGCAAGGGUGGUGGGAUUAUCAUUAGUUCUUAUAGGUUUUGGGAUAGGCGGUGGAGUUAAGAGCAAUGUUUUGGGGGCAGUGGGUGGAUCUCACAAAGUGCAUUCUCAAGGGACCCAGCCCUCUAUUUUCAAAGAAUAGGUUCUAUCUAAUAUUAUCAUGGUAAAUAUCCAUAUUAGUUUAAGAGAGAAAUGAAAAUAAUUUUUGAAUCCUGUUCUUACAGACAUCAAAGAAAGCAGGACAGAAUGCACAUUGCACUAUUCAAUUUGUUGAUUUGUCCUCUGUCAUCUUGUGGAGAGUGAUAGAGUAUUUUUUAAUUUCUUCAAUUAGGAUAGUCCAAUUGCAAUAAGGUGGCAUAAACAUGCUGUCUCAUGCUUAAAUAGUAAAGACUAGUCAGCAGUCAGUUAUAUAUAUAAUUGUCACCAGUCUACAAUUUUUUUUCCUUAUAGAAACAACAAACAUAAGGCCAUUUAGUACUAGUAAAUCCUAUCAUAAAUCUCAAGGCACAUGCCAUCUUAUAUAUUAAUUAGCUCUCUCUUUGGGCCAUAACAACUAAAAGAAAAGGCAAAAGAUUUUCUAAAUAAAGCUCUUACAUGAGGUAUUAUUUAUGAAAAUGAUCAAGUCCUUAAUUCACAUAUAUUCAGUGAAUGUAAUUAAUGGUAUUAUUUGUUAAUUUAUUGAUUCAAUAAAUACUACUAAGGUCUCAUUUUUGUGUUCCCUAAAAUCCAUAUGUUGAAAUCCUCACCCCCCAAGGUGAUAAUAUUACGAGGUGAGGGCUUUGGGAAGUGAUUAGGUUAGGAGGGUGGAACCCUCAUGAAUGGGAUUAGUGCCCUUAUAAAACACUCCAGGCCAGGCACUGUGGCUCACGCCUGUAAUCCCAGCACUUUGGGAGGCUGAGGUGGGUGGACCAUCUGAGGUCAGGAGUUCCAGACCAGGCUGGUCAAUGUGUCGAAACCCUGUCUCUACUGAACAUAGAAAAAUUAGCCAGGCAUGGUGGCACAGGCCUGUAAUCCCAGCUACUCGAGAGGCUGAGGCAUGAGAAUGGCUUGAGCUGGGAGGCAGAUGUUGCAGUGAGCUGAGAUUGCACCACUGCACUCCAGCCUGGGUGACAGAGCAAGACUCUGUCUCAAAACAAAACGAAACAAAACAAAAAACCAGAGAGAAGCUCCAGAGAGGAGAGAUCCCUCUCCUUUUUUGCCCCAUGCGAUAACAGAGAAAAGACAGCUAUUUAUGAGGAAGUGGGCCCUCACAAACACUGAAUCUGCUGGUGCCUUGAUCAUGCACCUUCUAGCUUCCACAACUGUGAGAAAAUACAUUGCUGAUGUUUAUAUGCCACCUCGCUUAUGGGAGAUUAUGGCAGCCAGAACUGAAUAGGACAAAUACUUGUAGAGCACCUAUUACAUGUGAGCACUACGGGCACAAGAAUAAAGAAAAUAGACCCUAACUUUAAAAAAAAAAAAAAAAAAACGAACAGUCAGCCAGGAGGCUGGCCACUAAAAUGCAAGAGUGCAUGCAGCAGGCACUGUGGGAAGACAGAAGAGUAGAUCCCAGGUGUCUGGGCAGGGCUGUGUGGAGGACAGAAGGUUCUCAGAGCUGUCCUGCAGGAUGCCACGCAGCCUGGGAAGAAGCCAGGAGCCUGGGGGAAUUGUUCUCGCAUCCCAAAUCAGUGGUUCCAGCAACUGUCAACACAAUAAAACUACAGAACUUGAAAGGGGAAAAUGGGAAAAUAAGCACAGAAGGACAGAUGUGCACCAGGGUGAGGAGAUCCCAACCUCUUUAUUAGAGAAAAGACCGGCAACCCUGCGGCUGGGGCUGGUCACAGAAAGGGGGCCUUGUGAGAGGGGCUGCGAUGAGGCAGAUGGAUGCCAAACCUCAAAAGGCUUUGCUGCUGUGCUAGCAAAUUUAGUUUCCUCCCACAGCUGGUCAGGAGCCCAGUGAACUCUAAGCAGGAAACUGCACUGAUCAGAAGAUAAUUUCAUAGUAACUACUCCGACAGCACAGAGAAGCGAUGGAGAAGGAAGGGAAGAAGGGAAAGCCACUGAAUGGCCCACUUGAGACCAGAAAAGGUCAAAAGUUUGAGGCAGAUAUAACGCAUUUGGGGAGGACUGGGCAUUCUCCUAACCAGACAGCAAUCCUGCCGAAAAUUAAAAUGAGUAGAGCGUCUGUUCACCAACCAAAUAUUAGAAAAAGGAAACAACAUAAUCUUGAAAUGAACUCUGCAGCCUUUUAAAAUUUAAAAUCCAUGACCCUACAGAAAGUUAUGCAAAUAUUUUUUGUUUCUAAUUUUAGCAGAGAACAACACUGUCAGUCUGGAGUAAGUGACAAAAAUAAGAAAGGGAAGUCUAUCCUGAUGCCCAGCCAGGGAAAAAUGGGAAGAAAGAGAAGAGAAGAGAAGAGACAGAGAGGUUAUCGCAGGAGUGGGACUGGUGACUAAAGAGGAAAUGAGACCUAAGCUAGCCUCCUUGCCAUGUGAUACUCUGCACCACCUUGAGACUCUGCAGAGAGUACCCACCAACAAGGAAGCUCUCACCAGAUGCGCCCCCUUGACCUUGGACUUCUCCACCUCCAGAACAGUACAAAAUAAAUUUCAUUUCUCAUAAAUUACUCAGUUUCAGAAAUCCUGUUUAAGCAACAGAAAAUGGACUAAGCUACUGCCCUGCUGAUCAGCCAGCCACCUGUACAUGUGCACACCCAGAUGACAUAUGCAAGAAUGUUCAGACCAUGGUAGAUGUUUCCAAAGAUGGCCCCCAUCAAGUCCUUACCCCUGUGCAUGCAUAUGCCCCUUCUCCCAUUCAGUUACCCCCCUUCCCUUGAGACUGAGUUGGUGCUGUAACUGCUUUUACCAAUAGGAUGCAGACAAAAAUAAUGUUCUGAGAAUUUCGAGAUCAAAACCUAACAGACUGAUAGCUUCCAUGUCCUUCUUCUUGGAACAUUCACUCAUAGAAUGCUCCCUCUCAGAACACAGAUACCAUGAGAGAAGUCCAACCGGGUCAUGUGGAGAGGCCACAUGGAAAAGAACUGAGGCCCAACAGCCCACACCACCUUCCAGUCAUGGGAAUGAACCUUAUUGGAUGUUCCAGCUUUGUCAAACCCCCAGAUGGCUUCAGACCCAACCAAGUUUAUGUGAAACAGAAGAGUCACACAGCUGAACCCACUCAACCCACUAAAUUGUGAGAGAUAAUAACAGGUUGUUGUUUGAAGCCACUACACUUUUUUGUGGUUAUGCCGCAACAGAAAAAUGAAACGCAGACCUCUCAAAAUCACAAGUCCACACUGUGAAUAUAUAAAUUUUAGCAAAGCACCCACUAUAGGCCUGCUUCUUUAAUAUAUAUUUUCUCAGUUAAUGCUCAAAACUAUGCUAAGACAUCAGCUUUCUCAUGGCAGAGAGAUUAUGUAAGAGGCAGAACUGAAACUCAAGGCACACUUCCUGGCCCUAAUUGAUGUGUUUGUCUCACUGCAUCUCAGAAGCUGGGACAAGUGACUCUGCGGGGUCAAUUCUCAGCUCUCUGAACAUGUAUCUGCUUUGGGGAUCAGUAUUACCAUGUGUGUUUUCAGGAUCAUGCUCUUCUAUCAUGUAGCCACCAAUGUGCGGCAAUGGAGAACUUUUUAUACAGUAUCCUAACAAAAAUUAGGAAGUCAUCAUUAGAUUCCCCCAAUCAAAUGUAUAAGACAGUACAGAAACAUAAUAAAAGCACAUCUAAAAGCCUCUUGGUAGAUUCAUGCAUCAGAUAAGAUGAUGGGUUAUACAAACUCUGAAGUCCUUUUUCUUCCAGCAAUCUAUGACCUGCCAAGCGCUGUGCAUAAUUCCUUACGUGCAUGAUCUCAUUUAACUUUCUCAAUAAGCCUAUACUUAUAAAGCAGAAACUGUUUUCUUUAGAGGUCUUUGGGGUCUUACUCUGUUACCCUGCUUGGUAUGCAGUGUGCAAACACAGCUCACUUUAACCUCAAACUCCUACACUCAGGACAUCCUCCCACCUCCACCUCCUGAGUAACUGGAACUACAGGCAAACACCACCGUGAGCAGCUAAUUUAACUUAUUUAUGUAUUUAUUUUUUAUUUGUUUAUUUUUAUCUUUUUUUAUUUUUUUAUUUUUUUGAGACAGAGUCUCGCUCUGUCGCCCAGGCUGGAAUACAGUGGCGCCAUCUCGGCUCACUGCAACCUCCACCUCUUGGGUUCAAGCAAAUCUCCUGCCUCAGCCUCCCAAGUAGCUGGGAUUACAAGUGCCCACCACCAUGCCUGGCUAAUUUUUUUUUUUUUUUUUUUUUUGUAUUUUUAGUAGAGACAGGGUUUCACCAUGUUGACCAGGCUGGUCUCGAACUCCUGACCUCAGGUGAUCUGCCCGCCUCCACCUCCCAAAGUGCUGGGAUUACAGGUGUGAGCCACUUUGCCCGGCAGUAACUGCUUUUAUCUCCACCUUAUAGAUGAGAAAACUAAGGCUUAGAGAAGCAAGAACACAGAAAUAGUAAGUGGCAGAGCCAAGAUUAAACACCACAGGUCUCCCAGAUCCACAGUCUAAAUUUUGUCAUAAAAUAUACAGUUUCCAUUCCUGCACUAGGAACAUAAUUUGUGGACUUGCUUGGAUUAUACAUAUUCCAAGAAAUUGUCCCAACUCCCAAAGAGCCAUCCCAGCUGCACCACAGGUCAUGAGGUGUGCAAGAAUCUAUCUGGUACAGCAUAAAACCAUGGAAGCUGCAGGUAAAGCCAGAACCCAAGCCAACUUCCACUUCCCACCCUGGGGAGAAGUUGGAGACUGAGUGUAUAAACACUAAGCCUACAAAUCUGCACCAACUGUUCUAUGGAAUAAACUUCUGAAUUGCAGCUCUAGUUUAUCUUUCAGAACAAGGCCAAGCAAUAACUCCGUAAAGAAAUGCCUACAAGGAUGACCUCUGGAAACACUUCAUAAUUUAAAAACCAGAAUAGCUGGGCACCACUGAUCCCACAGCCAAGUAGGUCAAGGCUGUGGCCCCUGCCAGUUCUACAAAUUCAUAUCUGCUUUAUCUGAAUUCAUUCAGGGUCAUGAAUAGAAGGGUAGGUUAUCUGAAGUUCUGACGUCUUCCCUUCAUUACCAGACAUACCAGCCAACAACUGGGUUUUAGGGUACUGAGUACAAGGACAUCUGGCUCAACAAAACUGAACAAGUCAGAAUUUGCGGUUGGGAACAGAGGUCAUUAAAGGAUUUACACAGCAAAGAGCAUGUCAGUGUGAUCUCCAAAUUUAAGGUAACAUUUCAGAGAAGGUUUCAUAUCAGAUCAACAUAAAACCAAUUUAAAUCUAUAAUAAACUCCAUUUCUUCAUCUUGUAUCUUAAUGCUAAAAUGUACUCUGCAAAACACAGGAUGCUAAACUAUGCACCCUGGAUAUAUUCACAGAUAGGAAUUACUUCCAGAAAGAGCAUGAACUAGUAAGCAUAUUACAGGAAAAUUAAUUUUUAUAAGUUUUUUUCUUACAAAAAUCAGAGUCUUUACACAGUAUCCUAACAAAAAUUAGGAAGUUUCAUUAGAUUUCCACUAUCAAAUUUACAAGGCAAUAUAGAAACAUAGUAAAAGCACAUUUAAAAGCCACUUGGUAGAUUUAUGCAUUAGAUAAGGUGAUAAAUUAUAUGACCUCUAAAGUUCUAUUUCAUAUAUGUAUAUAUAUUUGCAUAAGAAACUAAAUCACAAAGGACAAGUUUAUCUCUAUAAUAAAUCUUUCAAAAAAUAUUCUGACUUUCCACACUGAAAUAUUUAAGUUUUAGGUAAGAGGUAGAUAAGGUAAGUGGUGAUUCUCAUUUAUUUCAAAGCCAGAGUCUACUAACACCCAUAAUUCAUAAGCACUAAACCCACGGGAAAGAGGGAAGGAAGACAACAUAAAGGAGGGAAGGAGCAAAGAAAUAAAGGAGAGAGAAUAGAAAGGAAGGAAGAAAAGAAAGG
rnacentral:lncRNA from 10 species